rnacentral:rRNA from 1 species
GUGGGGAAUAUUGGACAAUGGGCGCAAGCCUGAUCCAGCCAUGCCGCGUGAGUGAUGAAGGCCCUAGGGUUGUAAAGCUCUUUCACCGGAGAAGAUAAUGACGGUAUCCGGAGAAGAAGCCCCGGCUAACUUCGUGCCAGCAGCCGCGGUAAUACGAAGGGGGCUAGCGUUGUUCGGAAUUACUGGGCGUAAAGCGCACGUAGGCGGACAUUUAAGUCAGGGGUGAAAUCCCGGGGCUCAACCCCGGAACUGCCUUUGAUACUGGGUGUCUGGAGUAUGGAAGAGGUAAGUGGAAUUCCGAGUGUAGAGGUGAAAUUCGUAGAUAUUCGGAGGAACACCAGUGGCGAAGGCGGCUUACUGGUCCAUUACUGACGCUGAGGUGCGAAAGCGUGGGGAGCAAACAGGAUUAGAUACCCCUGUAGUCC